rnacentral:rRNA from 1 species
CCUACGGGGGGCAGCAGUGAGGAAUAUUGGACAAUGGGCGGGAGCCUGAACCAGCCAAGCCGCGUGAGGGAAGAAGGUACAGCGUAUCGUAAACCUCUUUUGUCAGGGAACAAAGGAGGGGACUAGUCCCCGGAUGAGGGUACCUGAAGAAAAAGCAUCGGCUAACUCCGUGCCAGCAGCCGCGGUCAUAAGGAGGAUGCGAGCGUUAUCCGGAUUUAUUGGGGUAAAAGGGUGCGCAGGCGGCCUGUUAAGUCAGCGGGAAAAGCCCGGGGCUCAACCCCGGCGAGCCGUUGAAACUGGCGAGCUGGAGUUGGAGAGAAGUACGCGGAAUGCGCGGUGUAGCGGUGAAAUGCUUAGAUAUCGCGCAGAACCCCGGUUGCGAAGGCAGCGUACCGGCUCCACACUGACGCUGAGGCACGAAAGCGUGGGUAUCGAACAGGAUUAGAUACCCGGGUAGUC